rnacentral:rRNA from 1 species
UACGAAGGGUGCAAGCGUUAAUCGGAAUUACUGGGCGUAAAGCGUGCGUAGGCGGUUUGUUAAGUCAGAUGUGAAAGCCCUGGGCUCAACCUGGGAACUGCAUUUGAUACUGGCAGGCUAGAGUACGGUAGAGGGUGGUGGAAUUCCCGGUGUAGCGGUGAAAUGCGUAGAGAUCGGGAGGAACAUCCGUGGCGAAGGCGGCCACCUGGACCAGUACUGACGCUGAGGCACGAAAGCGUGGGGAGCAAACAGG